rnacentral:misc_RNA from 1 species
AUUUUUUUUAUUCAAAAAUUUCUUCCAAUGUGACCUUAUAGGGAAUAGUUCUGCAACAACUUGGGAAAAAAUGGAAUGGAUGCUUUUAUCCAUUAGAAUGUCACCAACCUAUAUUACAUUCCAAAUGGGAAAAUGUACAAAGCAACAGUAAACUACAUUGUAUGCUUAAACUUAAUAAUAUCAAUCUUGUUCAAAUUGAAGGUCUUGCAGAUUUUUGAAAUAGCACAUUUACUGAGGCCAUCAUUUUCAUCUCCGUUGUGAAGAAGUUCCUCGAGCUCCUUUGAUGGCUGCAGCACCUAUUCACAUAUUUCACAAGAAGAAAUAAAGCAGAAUGAGGAGAGACUGUGCCUUUCGCAGCUCAACAUUGAAGGACUAUUUAUCAAUGGAUCAACCUCUAAGCAUGCUAAGCACAAAGUGAAGAAUACGUAAUGCUUAUAUCAAUGCAAGGGAAAAAUGCCAAAUGAAAAGGCAUUUUCAGUUAUAGCAUUCCAAAUUCAAAAGCAUUUUCGGACCUAGCAUUCCAGUGCAACUUCUUUAAAAUCUAAACAGUCUGACAUACAUCUCCACUUAGAAAUAAUGGUCAGCUUAAUAAAGAGGGAAAAUUGGCACCGAAAAAUCACAGGGUCUAUCAAUUUUUUUUCCAGCAUAAUAACAUUGUCUUAAAUAGAUGUUUUUCAAUAUUUUACAUCAGGUAAACACAACAAAGGUAGAUGCUCAAAAAGCAGGGGGAUCAGGUUAUAACUAAUCUUAGACUUUAUCCACCAAUAGGUAUCAAAACUGAAUCACUUCAUGACAAUGGAAAUCCUCCCUUGUAAGCUAAAAAGUGGCAUUUGUACAAGAAAUUUUAUCUUAAGUUCCAAAAUGAUAAAGGAAUUAUACAUGAAAGAAAAUUCAAGAGCAACAAUUUGAAUGCAAUCUAUACUCUUGUACGGAGACCAAUAUCUCAUGCAUUGCUAUAAAUGUGAAAAUUUCAGAAAAAAGAUUACCCAUUUAGAACCUCGUGUCUUGUGGACUUCAUGCUUGGAGUCACCAGUUUCAAUUUCACUUUCACUUUCCUUCAUAUUUGGAAUGUCUAAAUUCUCAGCAUGAGGACAAUCAGACACAAGCUGAAGCAGCUUCUCACUCCCCUGGAGAGCUCGCCAAUGAGAAUAAGUGCGAAAUAAAACCCAAAAGAAUGGUAUAUUGGGCAGAGGUAAAACAGUAAAUGCACUUGUCAAUGGAAGUAAGGAAACUGAACCAUAGAAAUAUCCCUUGUGGCUGGCAGCUCCCCUCAUGGCAAUAUGUCGUAAUCUUCGCCGUACAAGUCGUGGAUUUAAACUGCAAUAUUGUGAAAUGAAUUAUUUAACAAGGCAUCAAAGAAACUUAAUUAUAACAAAAACAUUAAUCUUAUAUCUUGUUUCACAUCCAUAUUCUCUGUUCAUGACAUUAAUGUUGGUAGCUGGACACUUUGUGAAGCAGGUUAAAAUCCUUUCCUAUCAUAAGAAAGAAAGAUUUAAUUUCAAUAUUUAAAUCAACUGGAUAUAAAACAAGUAGCAGCUUCAAGUUGAUGGUUUGAGGUUUUAACUCCAAAUUUCUCAAUUAAGCAUAUCACCUCCUUUGUAUUCAACCAAAUAUUGGGACAUCAUGUAUGUUAGCUCAUGAACUCAACCCAGUAAAUAAUAAUGUCUGUGAUUUACAAAUGCAUUUUCGCAUGCAUUUAUCUACAUGGAAAGCUAAGUCAGAAGCAUUGUUGUUAAACUCAGGAAUGCAUACAAUUGAAGUAAUUAAUUCACAAUUGUCGCAUUUGUUUGAAGCAAAGGAAUUGUUGACAGGACCAAUGCGAUUAAUGGAACUAUAUUAGACAAAGAAAGAUAACAAAAACCUGGAGGGGUAUGUAAUUUCAACAUCAGUGACCUCCUUAGAUAUAGAUUUUAAGAAAAUCUCAGAUGGCUUAACCCGUGCCAAAAGCUUCAAUCCCAACCUACAGGCAUCAAUUAAUUUCAAUGAACAAAUAAACUAUUAUAAGAGCAACUAAUGACUGUACAUGCCAAAAGAGCAAUAAGGGGAAAACAAUACAAAAUACCCAUGAAUCUUAUUCUUCAAAGAGCCCUCUGGCGCCUUCUCUAGACCCAUCCAUGCUCUAUUCAUCUAUUUUGGAAACAAAAUAACAAAAAACAGAACACAUUAAUCCUGGCAAAAACUUGAGACCAUAGACAGAAUUUUUUUAAAAAAAAAAGGUGCCUUGUUGGAGACAAAAUCGAUGAGAAGCUCAGCAUUGUGGGCAUUGGAGUUGGAGGAUGAGAUCUUCUUCCAGAGUUCCUUGAGAGAAGAGGGGGUGUAUGCUGAGGCAUCCUCAGCAAUGGAAGGGUCGAUGGAUCUGCUAAAACACCAAUUCCUUCCUCUCACAGGAAACACAACCAAUCUCGCUCUCAUAAUUCUUAUUCUAAAUUUUAAACAGAACACACUUUCUUGGUUGGCUUUUAUAUAUAAAGUGUAUACCAGUAUUUGAUUCUAUAGACAAAUGGAUGCGGCGAGAGAAUCAAUCAAUGAAAGAAGGAUGUGUGUAUAUUCCAACAAGCCAGUGAAGGAGAAGAAGAAUAAGAAUCUCGUAUCGUGUAAAAGACCAAGCCAAAAAAAUAUGUAACAAAAAAGCGUUAGCUUUGAUGAGAGAACAGCGAAACUGAAAGAGAGAAAAGAGGAGGAGAGGAUGGAAGAAGCGGCGGGCUUUUCCCAGGCCAGUUGUACAAGGGGAG